GACGAACCGUGCGAACGUUGUUCGGAAUCACUGGGCGUAAAGCGCACGUAGGCGGAUUGCUAAGUCAGGGGUGAAAUCCUGGAGCUCAACUCCAGAACUGCCCUUGAUACUGGCGGUCUCGAGUCCGGGAGAGGUGAGUGGAACUGCGAGUGUAGAGGUGAAAUUCGUAGAUAUUCGCAAGAACACCAGUGGCGAAGGCGGCUCACUGGCCCGGUACUGACGCUGAGGUGCGAAAGCGUGGGGAGCAAACAGG
rnacentral:rRNA from 1 species